rnacentral:rRNA from 1 species
GACGAACGCUGGCGGCGUGCUUAACACAUGCAAGUCGAACGAUGAACCGGGUGCUUGCACUUGGGGAUUAGUGGCGAACGGGUGAGUAACACGUGAGUAACCUGCCCUGGACUCUGGGAUAACCCCGAGAAAUCGGAGCUAAUACCGGAUAGGACCUUCUCCCGCAUGGGGGUUGGUGGAAAGUUUUUCGGUUUGGGAUGGACUCGCGGCCUAUCAGCUUGUUGGUGAGGUAAUGGCUCACCAAGGCGUCGACGGGUAGCCGGCCUGAGAGGGUGACCGGCCAAACUGGGACUGGGACACGGCCCAGACUCCUACGGGAGGCAGCAGUGGGGAAUAUUGCACAAUGGGCGCAAGCCUGAUGCAGCAACGCCGCGUGCGGGAUGACGGCCUUCGGGUUGUAAACCGCUUUUAGUAAGGAAGAAGGGGCUUCGGCCUUGACGGUACUUGCAGAAAAAGGACCGGCUAACUACGUGCCAGCAGCCGCCGUAAAAC